rnacentral:tRNA from 1 species
GGUGGGGUAGCUCAGUUGGUAGAGCGGCGGGUUGGUGCCCCGCAGGUCGCAGGUUCAAGUCCUGCUCCCGGCCGCCA